rnacentral:snRNA from 1 species
AGCUUUGCGCAGUGGCAGUAUCGUAGCCAAUGAGGUUUAUCCGAGGCGCGAUUAUUGCUAAUUGGAGGUGUUUUAGAGGCUGUAAAGGAAAGAAACUUGUGUGCGCUCAUCCAAGCUCUCUUCUUACCUGGUCAGGACUUUGUUUUUAUUCCUUGGAA